GCCGCCGUGGCUCAGUAGGUAGAGCGACAGCCUGUUAAGUUGUUGGUCGUAGGUUCGAGCCCUACCGGCGGCGCCA
rnacentral:tRNA from 1 species